rnacentral:rRNA from 1 species
CCUACGGGUGGCAGCAGUGGGGAAUAUUGCGCAAUGGGCGAAAGCCUGACGCAGCGACGCCGCGUGAGGGAUGAAGGUCUUCGGAUCGUAAACCUCUGUCAGCAGGGAAGAACGGUCACUGUGCUAAUCAGCAGUGAAUUGACGGUACCUGCAAAGGAAGAACCGGCUAACUCCGUGCCAGCAGCCGCGGUAAUACGGAGGGUGCGAGCGUUAAUCGGACUUACUGGGCGUAAAGCGCUCGUAGGCGGUAUGUCAAGUCAAGGGGGAAAUCCCCGCGCUCAACGUGGGAACUGCCUUUGAAACUGGCAAACUGGAGUGUGUGAGAGGAUAGUGGAAUUCCAGGUGUAGGAGUGAAAUCCGUAGAUAUCGGGAGGAACAUCAGUGGCGAAGGCGACUAUCUGGCACAUAACUGACGCUGAGGAGCGAAAGCGUGGGUAGCAAACAGGAUUAGAUACCCGGGUAGUC